rnacentral:misc_RNA from 1 species
GUGAAUAUAAAGUAUACAUCAGCAGCGAAGCAAACUGAAAAUCAUUCCUUCCUGAACCCUCUUAUCUACCCGCAUGAUCAUCAGUAAUAUAAUGCCUUGAUACGAUAAAUGAUCUGCUAGGCACUUCUCCAAAGCCCAAAAUUUGGUCCAUCAGAUGGGGCAAGUGAAUUAUGGAUAAAUGCAGGUUCUGCCAGUGCCCCAGCAAGCAUCUGCAUCUAAUCUAAUUUUCAGCUGGCUGUCGACCAAUUUCACUGGACACUGAUGAAAUGC